rnacentral:rRNA from 1 species
UAAGGAAUAUUGGUCAAUGGACGCAAGUCUGAACCAGCCAUGCCGCGUGCAGGAAGACGGCCUUAUGGGUUGUAAACUGCUUUUGUCAGGGAAUAAACCCUCCUUUGCGAAGGGGGCUGAAGGUACCAUCAGAGGAAGCACCGGCUAACUCCGUGCCAGCAGCCGCGGUAAUACGGGGGGUGCAAGCGUUGUUCGGAAUCAUUGGGCGUAAAGCGCGCGCAGGCGGCUUGGUAAGUCAGAUGUGAAAUCCCUGGGCUUAACCCAGGAAGGGCAUUGGAAACUGCUUUUCUUGAGUUCUGGAGAGGAAGGGAGAAUUCCCGGUGUAGAGGUGAAAUUCGUAGAGAUCGGGAGGAACAUCAGUGGCGAAGGCGCCCUUCUGGACAGCAACUGACGCUGAGACGCGAAAGCGUGGGGAGCAAACA